rnacentral:rRNA from 1 species
GGGACCUUAACCAAAACAAAAAUACCCGCUGAACUUAAGCAUAUCAGUAAGCGGAGGAAAAGAAACUAACUAGGAUUU